AUUAAUGUAUCAUUUUAAAAUCACCUUAUAAUGACUGCUUUUGCCAUGUUUCUAUACGGCUAUAUUGUCAUUUUUGGACAUUACACUCCUUUUUGUGUACCAUGGAAGAAAGAAGAACACAGGUUUGGAAUGACAUGAAGGGCAUGAUGUCUAUUUGAAGUAGUUGAGCCCGGCCACCAGAAGGAACUUCUCCAGGAAGAGUUCAGAGUCGAGCACCGCGAUGUGAGCCGCACGUCCGAUCAACGUGUUGGCCGUGUUGGGUAAAGCGUGGAACACGUUCUGUCUGAUCAAACGACAAUUCGGAGCACUCAGCAAUGGCUGGACGCCGUCCGACACAUCUCAAUACGGGCCGAGUGGAAGGGUACGUAUCUGUCCUGUGGAGAGGCCACCAACACCACGUUCCUGAAGAACUGCAGACCUGGACAA